CAGUAGCCACGGUAAUACGAAGGGGGCUAGCGUUGUUCGGAAUUACUGGGCGUAAAGCGCACGUAGGCGGAUAUUUAAGUCAGGGGUGAAAUCCCAGAGCUCAACUCUGGAACUGCCUUUGAUACUGGGUAUCUUGAGUAUGGAAGAGGUGAGUGGAAUUCCGAGUGUAGAGGUGAAACUCGUAGAUAUUCGGAGGAACACCAGUGGCGAAGGCGGCUCACUGGGCCAAUACUGACGCUCAUGCACGAAAGCGUGGGGAGCAAACAGGAUUAGAUACCCCAGUAGUCCCUGUCUCUUAUAU
rnacentral:rRNA from 1 species